AACUCUCAACCUUCAACUUUUUUAUUAAGGCUGAAGGCUUGGACUUGAGCGCUGCUGGUUUUUACUAACCGGCUCGCUUGAAAUGAAUUAGCAGAUCCUUUUUGUAAUCGGUUCCACUCGACGUGAUAAGUAUUUCGCCGAGGACAUGUGAAAGCAUGGCCGAGAUAAAGAAAGUCUUUAGAUCCGCUUCUAAUUCUUAGAUAAAGCUUGCUUUACUAAACCCCAUUUUAUG
rnacentral:misc_RNA from 1 species